GACGAACGCUGGCGGCGUGCCUAAUACAUGCAAGUAGAACGCUGAAGGAGGAGCUUGCUUCUCUGGAUGAGUUGCGAACGGGUGAGUAACGCGUAGGUAACCUGCCUGGUAGCGGGGGAUAACUAUUGGAAACGAUAGCUAAUGCCGCAUAAGAGUAGAUGUUGCAUGACAUUUGCUUAAAAGGUGCAAUUGCAUCACUACCAGAUGGACCUGCGUUGUAUUAGCUAGUUGGUGAGGUAACGGCUCACCAAGGCGACGAUACAUAGCCGACCUGAGAGGGUGAUCGGCCACACUGGGACUGAGACACGGCCCAGACUCCUACGGGAGGCAGCAGUAGGGAAUCUUCGGCAAUGGACGGAAGUCUGACCGAGCAACGCCGCGUGAGUGAAGAAGGUUUUCGGAUCGUAAAGCUCUGUUGUAAGAGAAGAACGAGUGUGAGAGUGGAAAGUUCACACUGUGACGGUAUCUUACCAGAAAGGGACGGCUAACUACGUGCCAGCAGCCGCGGUAAUACGUAGGUCCCGAGCGUUGUCCGGAUUUAUUGGGCGUAAAGCGAGCGCAGGCGGUUAGAUAAGUCUGAAGUUAAAGGCUGUGGCUUAACCAUAGUACGCUUUGGAAACUGUUUAACUUGAGUGCAAGAGGGGAGAGUGGAAUUCCAUGUGUAGCGGUGAAAUGCGUAGAUAUAUGGAGGAACACCGGUGGCGAAAGCGGCUCUCUGGCUUGUAACUGACGCUGAGGCUCGAAAGCGUGGGGAGCAAACAGG
rnacentral:rRNA from 1 species